GGUUCGAUGGUGUAGUUGGUUAUCACUUCUGUCUAACAGUUACAGCGCUUAAGCAGCGUAACCUGUCGCACAGGCGGUCCUCAGUUCGAACCUGGGUCGAAUCA